AUUGAACGCUGGCGGCAUGCCUUACACAUGCAAGUCGAACGGCAGCACGGGUGCUUGCACCUGGUGGCGAGUGGCGAACGGGUGAGUAAUAUAUCGGAACGUACCUUAUCGUGGGGGAUAACGCAGCGAAAGCUGCGCUAAUACCGCAUACGCCCUGAGGGGGAAAGCGGGGGACCGUAAGGCCUCGCGCGAUUAGAGCGGCCGAUAUCUGAUUAGCUUGUUGGUGGGGUAAAAGCCCACCAAGGCGACGAUCAGUAGCUGGUCUGAGAGGACGAUCAGCCACACUGGGACUGAGACACGGCCCAGACUCCUACGGGAGGCAGCAGUGGGGAAUUUUGGACAAUGGGGGCAACCCUGAUCCAGCAAUGCCGCGUGAGUGAAGAAGGCCUUCGGGUUGUAAAGCUCUUUUGUCAGGGAAGAAACAGCAGCUCUAACACAAUCUGCGAAUGACGGUACC
rnacentral:rRNA from 1 species